rnacentral:rRNA from 1 species
CCCUUAGAUGCUCUGGGCCGCACGCGCGCUACACUGGUCGAUGCAACGAGUUUCUUUCCUUGGCCGACAGGCCUGGGCAAUCUUUGAACAUCGAUCGUGAUCGGGAUAGAUUCUUGUAAUUUUUGAUCUUAAACGAGGAAUUCCUAGUAAACGCAAGUCAUCAGCUUGCAUUGAUUACGUCCCUGCCCUUUGUACACACCGCCCGUCGCUCCUACCGAUUGAACGUUCCGAUGAAUACCAUGGAUUGAGAGUCUGAAUGGGUUCGCCUAUUUCUGCUUCUCGAGAAGUGGAGUAAAUCUUAGCGUUUAGAGGAAGGAGAAGUCGUAACA